rnacentral:siRNA from 1 species
UCAGCCCACUGAUAUUUGUGAUAC